AUUGAACGCUGGCGGCAUGCUUUACACAUGCAAGUCGAACGGCAGCGCGGGCUUCGGCCUGGCGGCGAGUGGCGAACGGGUGAGUAAUACAUCGGAACGUGCCCAGUAGUGGGGGAUAGCGCGGCGAAAGCCGGAUUAAUACCGCAUACGACCUGAGGGUGAAAGCGGGGGAUCUUCGGACCUCGCGCUAUUGGAGCGGCCGAUGGCAGAUUAGCUAGUUGGUGGGGUAAAGGCCUACCAAGGCGACGAUCUGUAGCUGGUCUGAGAGGACGACCAGCCACACUGGGACUGAGACACGGCCCAGACUCCUACGGGAGGCAGCAGUGGGGAAUUUUGGACAAUGGGCGAAAGCCUGAUCCAGCAAUGCCGCGUGUGUGAUGAAGGCCUUCGGGUUGUAAAGCACUUUUGGCGGGAACGAAAAGGACUGUGCCAAUACCACGGUUCGAUGACGGUACCCGCAGAAUAAGCACCGGCUAACUACGU
rnacentral:rRNA from 1 species